CCUACGGGAGGCAGCAGUGGGGAAUAUUGGACAAUGGGGGGAACCCUGAUCCAGCCAUGCCGCGUGUGUGAAGAAGGCCCUCGGGUUGUAAAGCACUUUCAGUGAGGAAGAACGCCUGGUGGUUAAUACCCAUCAGGAAAGACAUCACUCACAGAAGAAGCACCGACUAACUCCGUGCCAGCAGCCGCGGUAAUACGGAGGGUGCGAGCGUUAAUCGGAAUUACUGGGCGUAAAGCGCGCGUAGGUGGCUUGAUAAGCCGGUUGUGAAAGCCCCGGGCUCAACCUGGGAACGGCAUCCGGAACUGUCAAGCUAGAGUGCAGGAGAGGAAGGUAGAAUUCCCGGUGUAGCGGUGAAAUGCGUAGAGAUCGGGAGGAAUACCAGUGGCGAAGGCGGCCUUCUGGACUGACACUGACACUGAGGUGCGAAAGCGUGGGUAGCAAACAGGAUUAGAUACCCUAGUAGUC
rnacentral:rRNA from 1 species